UACGAAGGGGGCUAGCGUUGUUCGGAUUUACUGGGCGUAAAGCGCACGUAGGCGGAUCGUUAAGUCGGGGGGGAAAUCCUGGAGCUCAACUCCAGAACUGCCUUCGAUACUGGCGAUCUCGAGUCCGGAAGAGGUGAGUGGAACUCCUAGUGUAGAGGUGGAAUUCGUAGAUAUUAGGAAGAACACCAGUGGCGAAGGCGGCUCACUGGUCCGGUACUGACGCUGAGGUGCGAAAGCGUGGGGAGCAAACAGG
rnacentral:rRNA from 1 species